CUGUUCUUUGUUUAACACGGAGCAUUGGUUUUGCUCUAAAUAGGUGACAUUGCAGGAAACGAGAACGUGAGUUAAAGCAGAUUUUAAAAAACAUUUAAAAUGCGUUAAGUGAUAUUUGUUAUACUUACAAUCUUUAAUGAUUUUAUCUACUUUUCAUGCUGCACAAGGAUUCAUUCCCAGGUUAAUUGGUUGAGGUAAGGAAUGUAGCAAAAGGUAUUUUUGAGCCUUUGCAAAGAAAUUUUGUUUUUGCUUCAUUAUUCUUGAAAUACGUUAUAAGCAGAUGAUCUUAUUUUUAAGUAUCUGUGGUAAUAUAAGUUAGAAAUUAAGUUUUGAUAUAAAUUUUUUUUUUAAAAUACGAACUUCUUAAUAUGUAUUUCUGGUUUUCUGAAAUGACCAUUGCUGAUACUUUUUCGCUUCAUUGGGAAAUAAGUUCUGAGUGUAAUUAGAAAUCUGAGUGUGUCUACAGCUGUGUCUGGAUUACUGUAGAAGGCGUGCCCGGUGAUUUCCACUCUGCCCACGUAAUUUGGUUACAGUUUGUAUAUAACAAUGCUGUUGCUCUAGCAUAAAUGACCAUUUAAAAAAAUAUGUUUGUUUUUUUAAUAAUGGUUGAGGGUGUACCUAGGGCUUUCCUGAGUUGGUUUUAAGUGAACUUUUUAUAAUACAUGGAAGUUGUGUGUCUGGUGGCAGACACGACCAGUGGCUGCCCAGGUCCCCCUCGUGAGGCAGGUGUAUGCAUCCGCCUAGGUCCACAGCCGUGCCCUCCUGCAGGCACCCCCGCUCUGCUGACAGCCUGUGGCCAGCUGGCAGGAGGUGGGUUCCGGAAGGCUGGCCCCUGCAUCAGGGCGGGACCCACACUGAGGCGGCUGACAGCCCAGGCCCGAUCCGAACACCAGCUGAAACCACAUGAUCCCUCCCCUUCCCCAUCAGCUCCUCUCACUUCCCUCAGGGUUUGUGCCCAGAGCAGUUCAAGCAUCAGAACCCCUGUCUCAGGCUCUGUACUUGGGGGCCUCUCCUGCACGGCCACAGGUCCUGGACGCCUCGGCCCUCAGCUUCAACACCAGGCUGAAGUGGUUCGUCAUCUGCUUCGUGUGCGGCAUUUUCUUCUCUGUCCUGGGGACCGGAUUGCUGUGGCUUCCUGGUGGCAUAAAGCUGUUUGCGGUGUUUUAUACCUUUGGAAAUCUCGCCGCGCUCGCCAGUACCUGCUUUCUAAUGGGACCCGUGAAGCAGCUGAAGAAGAUGUUUGAAACAACGAGAUUGCUCGCAACGAUUAUUAUGCUCCUCUGUUUCGUAUUUACCCUGUGUGCUGCUCUUUGGGUAAGUUCCACCCGCCGGGCCUGGCUUCUACUAACGGUGGCCCCGCACCUGUGUCGUCACGCCGCCGUCCCAGAGGAGCUCAGGGUCUGGUGUCUAAAACCCCCAAAGGUUGGGGGUCCCUAAGAUUGUGUGCGGUAACGUCAGCUUAGUGGCUGGACUGGGGAGCAACCCUGCUGUCCAGAACGGACAGUGGCACCGGAAGGGCCUGGCCUUACUCUUCUGCGUCCUGCAGUUCUUGUCCAUGACCUGGUACGUCUCCCUGACGAGAGCGCUAACAUUCCCUAAGCGGUGAUGAGCAGUUUGAGCCCUUGAGCUGGGGACGUCGGGAGGCUGUCCCGGGGUGAGGGCUGUGCCCUGGAGGCCGGGCCUCCCUCGAGGUCAGAUGGGUGAGAUCUGUGCUGUGUCCCUGGGGACUCGCCGGUCGCCCAGUGGAGGGGUGGGGGUCGCCGCAGCGGGGCUGCUGGGCCGGCUCGCUCACACCGUGACGCGCUUGCUGCCUGCUGGGUACGUGGGAGAGAAACGGUGGGGGUGUAGGCGAUGUCGAUGCCAUGUGAGUCCUUAGAAGGGAGGCUGUCCCGGGAGAAGCCCUGGAUGGCGUUGGUGACUGUUCCCUUUGUGCCAUACCGCUGAGUACUUAGGGUCGAUUUCCUCUGCUAACUGGGGACCUGUCACAUCUGGCGCGGAGGCGGUCCCAUCGGACUCAUCAGUGAGGACGGUCAGCCGUUCACCUCGGGGCUGAGGGGCUCGUCCCCCGCUCGUCGAACACCUGUGUGUAAGCUUUGACUGCCCAGAGCCCCCCACGGAGAGGCUGCUGGUGACUCCAGGCCGAGCAGCCCGUGUUCUCUGUCUGACGUGCUGUAUUCUCAGGCCUGUUUCGUAACUCAUUCUGGGCUUCCUAGGCCAUGUGGUUCAUCUGCAAGGUUUUCCAAAUGGUUGCAAAUCCCCAACAAAAGAGUUCCCCAAGUAUUUAUUGAAAAAAAAAAAAAUCCACGUUUAGGUGGCUCGGGAAGUCAGCCGCAGAAACUGUAGAUCCUGCUGCUCGCGUGUCCCCGGUCCCCUUCUAGGCGCACUCCGUGGCACCCCUGCGCCCUGCUCACGUGCCGCUCCAGCAGGCACCCAGUCCCACUGCAUCAGGGGCCCGGUGCACAGGGGAUCGAAUUGGAUGAGCCCCGCCCCACGUACCUCCGUGUCCUUCCUGACACAGGCGUUUCUGGAGUCCGUCCCCUUCUCACUAGAGCUCUUUGUCUGCUCCCAAGAGUCCGCCCGUUCCCCCCGAGUGGCUGUCUUCCGUCCCCCUGAGAGCAGUCUCCGCUCUGGCCCCGGGUCUCCCUCCACCCGAUGGCUGGGGCCCCGUCGGGGGCCGCAUGCGCUUCUGCACCUGUGGGCUCGCUGUUUCCGUGAGCCGUGGCUCCUUUCAGCCAGAUUCCAUGGCUUUUCCUGUAAUAUGUUGCUUUUUUCUAUUGCCUCAGUGGUACUUAAUGACCUUACUCCCUAAGGGAGAAUGCAGUUUAUCCCCAGUUAUCUUACGGUUUUUACUAAAACAACACCAGGGUCAUUUCUAGUAUCCCCAGCUCAGACUUCAGCAGGCGGCAGGGGCCCGGAGGGUUCGUGCAGGAGGUGGGGGGUGGGGCACAGGCAUUUGCAUCUUUAAUCCGUGCCUGCCUGUCUGGGGGUCUGGGGUCCUGCUGGGAGGAUUGCCGCACAGUGUCCUGUAGCCGUAUUUUCUGUGGUGUGGCAGUAGGGCCCCUUGGCUCUCGGAGGAACGGUGUGCGGACGGUCUCAACACGUGUGAACUUUUC